CCUACGGGUGGCAGCAGUGAGGAAUAUUGGUCAAUGGCCGCAGGGCUGAACCAGCCAAGUCGCGUGAGGGAUGACGGUCCUAUGGAUUGUAAACCUCUUUUGUCAGGGAGCAAAGGGCGCCACGUGUGGCGCUUUGCGAGUACCUGAAGAAGAAGCAUCGGCUAACUCCGUGCCAGCAGCCGCGGUAAUACGGAGGAUGCGAGCGUUAUCCGGAUUUAUUGGGUUUAAAGGGUGCGUAGGCGGAAGGUUAAGUCAGCGGUCAAAUGUCGGUGCUCAACACCGGCCUGCCGUUGAAACUGGUCUUCUUGAGUGAGCGAGAAGUAUGCGGAAUGCGUGGUGUAGCGGUGAAAUGCAUAGAUAUCACGCAGAACUCCGAUUGCGAAGGCAGCAUACCGGCGCUCAACUGACGCUGAGGCACGAAAGCGUGGGGAUCGAACAGGAUUAGAUACCCGGGUAGUC
rnacentral:rRNA from 1 species